rnacentral:rRNA from 1 species
GAUGAACGCUAGCGGCAGGCUUAAUACAUGCAAGUCGAGCGGGGAUUAUGCUUGAUCGCUUCGGUGAGACGGCAUAUAUCCUAGCGGCGGACGGGUGAGUAACGCGUGGGUAAUCUACCUCGUAGUUCGGGAUAACAGGCCGAAAGGCUUGCUAAUACCGGAUGAGUUCAUGCUUAUGCAUAUAGGCAUGAAGAAAGGGCUAGCCCGCUAUGAGAUGAGCCCGCGUCCCAUUAGCUUGUUGGUGGGGUAAUGGCCUACCAAGGCAACGAUGGGUAGCCGGCCUGAGAGGGUGUACGGCCACACUGGGACUGAGACACGGCCCAGACUCCUACGGGGGGCAGCAGUAGGGAAUUUUCGGCAAUGGGCGAAAGCCUGACCGAGCGACGCCGCGUGAGGGACGAAGGCCUUCGGGUUGUAAACCUCUGUCUGGGGGGAUGAGAACGGACGGUACCCCCGGAGGAAGCCCCGGCUAACUACGUG